rnacentral:rRNA from 1 species
ACGGAAGGCAGCAGUGGGGAAUCUUCCGCAAUGGACGAAAGCCUGACGGAGCGACGCCGCGUGGAUGAUGAAGGCCGGAAGGUUGUAAAAUCCUUUUAUGACUGAGGAAUAAGCAGGGUGAGAGAAACGCCCUGUGGUGACUGUAGGUCAUGAAUAAGCAACGGCUAAUUACGUGCCAGCAGCCGCGGUAACACGUAAGUUGCGAGCGUUGUUCGGAAUUAUUGGGCGUAAAGGGCAUGUAGGCGGUUUUGCAAGCUUGGUGUGAAAUCCCGGAGCUUAACUCCGGAAUUGCGUUGAGAACUGCAUAACUAGAGUCACUGAGGGGCAAGCAGAAUUCCUGGUGUAGGGGUGAAAUCUGUAGAUAUCUGGAAGAAUACCAAUGGCGAAGGCAGGUUACCAGCAGAUGACUGACGCUGAGGUGCGAAGGUGCGGGGAGCAAACAGGAUUAGAUACCCUAGUA